ensembl:miRNA MIR323A microRNA 323a
UUGGUACUUGGAGAGAGGUGGUCCGUGGCGCGUUCGCUUUAUUUAUGGCGCACAUUACACGGUCGACCUCUCUGCGGUAUCUAAUC